GGGUUGUGAGGUUAAGCGACUAAGCGUACACGGUGGAUGCCCUGGCAGUCAGAGGCGAUGAAGGACGUGCUAAUCUGCGAUAAGCGCCGGUAAGGUGAUAUGAACCGUUAUAACCGGCGAUUUCCGAAUGGGGAAACCCAGUGUGACUCGUCACACUAUCAUUAACUGAAUCCAUAGGUUAAUGAGGCGAACCGGGGGAACUGAAACAUCUAAGUACCCCGAGGAAAAGAAAUCAACCGAGAUUCCCCCAGUAGCGGCGAGCGAACGGGGAGGAGCCCAGAGCCUGAAUCAGCAUGUGUGUUAGUGGAAGCGUCUGGAAAGGCGCGCGAUACAGGGUGACAGCCCCGUACACAAAAGCGCAUGUGCUGUGAGCUCGAUGAGUAGGGCGGGACACGUGGUAUCCUGUCUGAAUAUGGGGGGACCAUCCUCCAAGGCUAAAUACUCCUGACUGACCGAUAGUGAACCAGUACCGUGAGGGAAAGGCGAAAAGAACCCCGGCGAGGGGAGUGAAAAAGAACCUGAAACCGUGUACGUACAAGCAGU
rnacentral:rRNA from 1 species